rnacentral:lncRNA from 1 species
UCGUUGUAUAAACCAUAUUGAUGUAACCUUAAAUGCAGAAAUAUGUCAUUAAUAACGCAAAUGUAAUUCAAAGUCACUGACUCGAUUUGUUUUACUGUGGAAAUGUGUCGGAAUUAUGUAUUAAUCAAAUAAAUUGAAUAAUAAAAAACGAUGGAUGAUAUAAAAGCUAUAGCGAUUUUGUCUGAACAAAUACAAACUCUUAGGACAGCACCGGAACCCCCCAAAAAUAUUGAUGAUGGAGAAAACUACGGCGAUAGAAUUCAAAGGAUGCUAGAAGAAGUAACGACUGAAGUUAAAAGAGUGGACAGCAUACGUAGAACAAGUGGAAAAGAAACUGCAAGAACUAGUAAAUUCACAGUUAGUUUUAGUUAAGAAAAACCAGGAUGCUCUACAAACCCUUUUCGCGGAUUUUCAGUUUAACACGAUAGUGUCAGGCAAUGUUGUUAAAGGUGGUAAACCGUCAGCUGUUGAUAAGUUACAGUUGGCUCACGAAAUCGAGAAAGCCUCUCGAGCAAUAAUGAACGAUCGACUUAAUGAGUUGGUGAAAGGGACAGAAGUGGUCCUUGCGAAACUUAAAGAUGGCGCAGAACUUUAUAAAGAGGAUAUGGAGAACCUCAAAGGGUGUCUUAAAGACUGGAAGAAUUCAAAAGCCUACGAAAAAAGGAAACAAAAGCAGGAACGAAGAGAAAUGGAAAAGAGAGAAAAAGAAGAACAGAAGAAACAAAAAGAGGAGGAACGGAG